GUGACGUGGCCAGGGCUGUGUCGACACCAGGGUGGUGUUGGUUGUGUGGGGUGCACCUGGGUCCUGUGUUGGCCUUUGAAGACAAGCCGAUCAAGAUAUAUAGUUUGGAAGGCCGCCAGCCAGCGCCCACCAGCGGCCCCAGUGCCCCUUGUGCCUUCACUUGCGGCGUCCCCUCUCCCCUAUCCUCCUCAAAGUCCUUCAGCAUGUCAGCCCAAGUACUCGUGGUCGUGUAUCGGUGGGAUCCAGGAACAGCAGGUGCACCGAUCAGUGACCCCCGGUGCUGCCAGACCCCGCGACACUACUGUAAUGAUUCCCACGCUUUGUUUUCCCCGUGCCGCGAAAUACGAGACAACUUUUACUAA